rnacentral:rRNA from 1 species
AGUGAACGCUGGCGGCAGGCCUAAUACAUGCAAGUCGAACGGCAGCACAGUGGAGCUUGCUCCAUGGGUGGCGAGUGGCGGACGGGUGAGGAAUACAUGGGAAUCUGCCCAGUCGUGGGGAUAACGUAUGGAAACGUACGCUAAUACCGCAUGCGCCCUUCGGGGGAAAGUCGGGGACCGCAAGGCCUGACGCGAUUGGAUGAGCCCAUGUUCGAUUAGCUAGUUGGCGGGGUAACGGCCCACCAAGGCGACGAUCGAUAGCUGGUCUGAGAGGAUGAUCAGCCACACUGGAACUGAGACACGGUCCAGACUCCCUACGGGAGGCAGCAGUAGGGAAUAUUGGACAAUGGGCGCAAAGCCUGAUCCAGCCAUGCCGCGUGAGUGAAGAAGGCCCUCGGGUUGUAAAGCUCUUUGUUGGGAAGAAAGCAGUU